AAACAGGCCAAAGUUAUGGCAACAACCGUUAAAAACCGUUAGCCAACGGUUAGCUGAGCAGAUUACAUUUAAAUAUUAAAGAACAUAAAGUAAGCCACAUAAAUUUCUGUAAAUUUGCUAAAUUAAAUAUUUAGCAUUAUGCAGAAAACUUCCAUAGAUUCACAAAUGAAGUAAAAAUGAGUUUAUUAAGAUGUUUUAUGGUUUUGAAAUACACGAAUACGAAUAUACGUGUUUAUGAUGUACUCUGUAAAAUGUCUAAAUUGCAGUUUCACCAAAUGUAUCAUUAGUACUAUUAAUUAAUAAGUGUUAUUUCGUCUUCAUUGACGUAAAUAAAUAUUAAAAUAUUCCUGUCCUUCUCAGUUAAAUGAUCAAUUACAUUAUUCUACGUGUGUUUAGCCUUUUUUAUUCCUACGUCACCAGUUUAAACACGUGACCAGCGGAAGGUUCCUCACCUUUAACAGAGAGGACAGGAACAGGAAGUUAUUAUGGAGCCGCUAGGUGCUCCUCUGUCACCGGGAUAUUGAUAAGUAAAAGUAUAAGGAGGAGGAGGUGGUGGAGGGGCGGUACGGGCUUGUUUAAUACCCCGGCAUCAAUACGCCUUCACGGGCCUAAUGCCCCGCCAUUAGUCACACGGGCCACGGCAGUGGAUUUAUCACUCACAUCUACCGGAUAUGAAACGGCACGUGGAGCAUCAGUGACGAGGAAACUCCCGAAAACACCAGGCACGUGGCCUUUUAUGAUUCAUCAACUACGGAAACGGAAUUAUUAGGAUUUCCUCCUGCGGCCUUUAAGACGAAGCGCCUGGGUUGCCAGAAAAAUCCUGUAGAGACGUUUUUACCAGAAGCGGUCGAUGGUGAAAACAGAGGAGGAACCUGGAGUCAGACGUACAGAAAGACCAUCAGUUACCACCAGGAAUCGAACCUCUGACCUCCUUGACGUAAGGUAAGAGUACUAACCACUCUACCACUGUGCGACCGCCGCGUGAAAUUACGAAUCCGUGUCUCGGAGAAUAUUUUUGUUGCAUCAGCCUCAGUGAUGUGAGCGUGUGUUAGUUCUGAUACGGAACGGGUUCUCGUUCAGUGAUCUGGUCUGGUCUGAGUAGAGUUAGGUUUACAGAGUGGGUAAACAUUGGGUUAAGGUUUGGAAUAAGGAUCUGGUUGGACUGUAGGACACAUGAGUGUGUGUGUGUGUGUGUUGUGAUGAUCCCUGUGAAAGCCCCCAGCUUCCUGUGUAAAGCUGCUGCUGAAACAUCAGCUGCUCCGGUGACGGCUGUAAAAGCAGAGGGAGCAGCCGAUUUAUCUGCAGUGAGGAGCGGAGAGCAGGAGAGCCGGCUCACACCUGCGUGUCGGACGGACCCCCGCCUUCUGCCGCUGCCUCUGCUUUCCCUUUCAAACUUAUUUAACUGCCCCGUCCCACUGAGAUUUGAGGGUGAGAUGCAGAAGCCUCACCCUGUAUGGGUGAACGGGGGGAGAGGUGGGGGGGGGGGGGUCUCCCAUCAGUGACUGUAAUGUGUGCCUCCACUAACAGGGGGCUCAGUGGGCCUUUUCACGCAGCAGCAGAACAGCAGGGGUUUUAAUUUAACAAGCCUGUUUUUAAUGAACCUGCAUGAGCUCCCAGCAGAAAUUGGAUUUACUCUGUUCCAGGUUCCAGGCUGUGCACUGGGCCUGUGUGUGUGUGUGUGUGUGUGAGAAGCAAUUAUAGCAGCAGCGCCAUAGAAUGAAUAUACAUACGGACAGACACUGAGGCUGCCAGGCCUCGGUGCACACACUCAGUUUAAAUGGAACUUUGAAGUUGUUGAAGCGUCGACAUUAAAACGUCCGACUGAAAUGAACUGAACUUCACUGGAAAUAAUACAAGAAUGAACCAACAAUGACCUUCACGUGUCUGUGUUAAGACACCAGUCUGGUCUGUUAGGAA